rnacentral:pre_miRNA from 1 species
GAACUACUCCCUCCGUUCGGAAUUACUUGUCUUGGAAAUGAAUGUAUGUAGAACUAAAAUACGUCUAGAUACAUCCAUUUCCGCGACAAGUAAUUCCGAACGGAGGGAGUAGUAC